rnacentral:rRNA from 1 species
AUGCGUUCUCCCAAGCAACUGGCGAAGCUCGCCAUGCUUUUACUGCUGGCGUUGCUGCUGCUCUGCAAUGGAGUUCGCAACGUUCAUUGCUCAAGGAUCCACGAGAAUAGCGUCGAUCUGCACUCGCUAAUUGAGUUCAACAAGAGCAUCACCGACGAUCCUCAAGGAGCCUUGAGUAACUGGGACACCACAACCCACUUCUGCCACUGGAAUGGUGUCAACUGCACCACGACACCACCGUUCCGUGUCAAGCAGCUUAAACUCAGCGGCUGGAACUUAGGAGGCCAAAUCACCUCCUCUCUUGGAAACUUAACCUUCCUUGAAACGCUUGACCUUUCAUACAAUAACUUCGUUGGCCCCUUGCCUAUCCUUGGCAAUCUCCAACGAUUGCAGACACUUUAUCUGUACCACAACCGUUUAAAUGGGAUGAUUCCUGAUUCAAUUACCAAUUGUUCCAACUUGGCCAACUUAGAUCUAUCCGCAAACUCGCUAGUUGGCGUAAUUCCACCAAAAUUAGACCUGCUUUCAAAUCUGUCCUACUUAAACCUAUCCAGAAAUUCCCUAGCGGGCGUAAUUCCUACGAAACUGGGCUUCCUUUCCAAUCUGACCGUCGUAGAUCUCUCUGUAAACUUGCUAGUGGGUCAAAUUCCUCCCAAACUAGACUUACUUUCGAAACUGUUCUACUUGGAUCUCUCUAGAAACUCACUAGUGGGUCAAAUUCCUCCGAGAUUAGGCUUUCUUAAAAAUCUAGAAUAUCUCUAUCUUGGAUCAAACCAACUCGAGGGGAGCAUUCCUGAUGAGCUUGGGCAAUUGCUGCAAUUGGAACAGCUGCUCCUAGGCAACAAUAAGCUUACAGGUGAAUUCCCACAUGCCAUCUUGAACUCUUUAGGUUCACUCAAAUAUUUAGGCUUGGGGUCCAAUAUGCUACGCAAUGCAUUGCCAACUAAUAUUGGCGACCGUCUGCCUAAUCUCAUUGAACUUACCUUGGCUGGUAACAUGUUUGAAGGUAACAUCCCAGCUUCCCUAGGCAGCGCUCAAGGUUUAGAACUGAUAGAUUUAUCAAAUAACAGUUUCACUGGGAUAAUUCCUACUUCUUUUCGAAAUCUUUCAAGUCUGACUAUUCUAAACCUUGAGUAUAACCAGCUUGAAACAAGGGACAACAGAGACUGGGAAUUCUUAAAUGCAUUGACAAAUUGUCGAUCCCUAAAGAAACUAUCACUCUCUUACAAUCAGCUCCAGGGACCUAUUCCCCAGUCCGUUGGUAAUCUAUCCCCCAGCCUUGAGAGUCUUCGGCUGACUGGAAACAACUUGUCUGGACAAGUACCCCAGAGCAUCAGAAAACUUAAUGCCUUAACUCAACUUGCACUAGGCGAAAACUAUUUAAGUGGUAGAGUCGAAGGAUGGGUUGGAAACCUAACUUCCCUUCAAUUACUAAAUCUCAAGUCAAACCACUUCACGGGCCCAAUCCCAUCCUCUAUUGGCAAUCUUGUUAACUUGACAUAUUUCUACAUAAAUGACAAUGAAUUCGAUGGCGUGAUACCAGCUAGCUUAGGAAACCUUCCACUCUCGAAGCUAGACCUUGGCUAUAACAAUCUCCAAGGGCAUAUACCACCAAACUUUUGGAACCUCCAAGAACUAAUAAUAUUGAACGUCGGCCACAAUAAUCUUCAAGGUGCCAUUCCUGAGAUUGGUACCCUUAAACACCUCACCACAUUAGAUCUUUCUUCAAAUAUGCUUACCGGACAAAUUCCUGAUUCUUUGGGCCAAUGUUACGACUUAGUGAGUCUACAAAUGGACCAAAACUCUCUUAUCGGAAACAUCCCAGCAACUUUUGGCAACCUGUCGUCUCUGAGCAUGCUAAAUCUUUCACACAACAACUUGUCAGGCAACAUACCGACAGUUCUAAACACACUGAAGUUCCUCAACAGUCUUGACCUUUCGCAUAAUCAUCUUCAAGGAGAAAUACCCAUAUAUGGAGUGUUUGACAAUGCUACAGCCGUUUCACUUGAGGAUAAUUGGGGGCUCUGUGGAGGCGCCGUGUUUUUCCACAUGGCUUCAUGCAAAACCAUUUCCAAGCAAUCAGAGAGACGAAACCGUUUGAUUAAAGUGCUGAUCCCAAUAUUCGGGUUCAUGUUAGUCAUAUUGUUGGUCUACCUUUUACUCCUUGAGAAGAAGAUGCGAAGGAGGACAGAUGAUACAUCAACUUCACUAGGGGAGAACUUUAUGAAGGUCUCUUAUGCAGAUCUAGCACAAGCCACAGCAAACUUCUCGGAGUCUAACCUGGUUGGAAGAGGAGGUUAUGGUUCUGUGUAUAGAGGAAAGUUGAAGGAAUCUAAGGUGGAUGUGGCUGUCAAGGUUUUUGAUCUUGAGAUGCACGGAGCAGAGAAAAGCUUUCUAAAAGAAUGUGAGGCACUGCGAAGCAUUCAGCAUAGAAAUCUUCUUCCCAUCCUUACCGCUUGCUCGACAGUAGACAGUACAGGCAAUGUUUUCAAAGCUUUAGUUUAUGAGUUCAUGCCUAAUGGGAACCUAGACACAUGGCUGCAUCCCAGAGAGGACGGGAAGGCUCAUAAACAUUUAAGCUUAGCUCAAAGAUUAGACAUAGCUGUCAACAUGGCUGACGCACUGGAUUAUCUACACCAUGACUGCGGAAGACCCACCAUCCAUUGUGAUUUGAAGCCAAGCAAUAUUCUUCUUGAUGGUGAUAUGACUGCUCUUUUGGGAGACUUUGGAAUUGCAAGUUUCUACCAAGAUUCAUGGUCAACAUCAACCAGUUCAAUGAGUUCAUCAUCAGUCGGUGUGAAGGGUACUAUAGGAUAUAUUGCUCCAGAGUACGCCGGAGGUGGCCGCCGUGCAUCAACCACUGGAGAUGUUUAUGGUUUUGGGAUAAUACUGCUGGAAAUGAUGACUGGAAAAAGACCCACAGAUCCUAUGUUCAAGGAUGGAGUUAGCAUUGUCGACUUUGUGGAUAGCAACUUUCCACAUGAAAUAGUUCAUGUCAUUGACGUCAAUCUCAGCGAAGACUCAGGGGUUGACAUUACUCAAGCAAACAAGGCUUCAGAAAAUUAUGUUCGUGAAUGCUUGGUAUCUAUGCUGCAACUAGCACUUUCCUGUACGCACCCAGUACCAAGCGAACGAAUGAACAUGAAAGAGGUGGCCAGCAAAAUUCAUGCAAUUAAAACAUCAUAUGUGGGACGGAAAACAGAAGAGCGUCCUUCACUAGAGUAA